AAUGUACUCCCUCCAUCCGGAAAUACUUGUCAAAGAAAUGGAUGUAUCUAGAUAUAUUUUAGUUCUAGAUACAUCCGCUUUUAUCCAUUUUUGCGACAAGUAAUUCCGGACGGAGGGAGUAUAUA
rnacentral:pre_miRNA from 1 species